GCCAACGUAGCUCAGCGGUAGAGCUCUGGUUUUGUAAACCAGCGGUCGUCGGUUCGAAUCCGACCGUUGGCU
rnacentral:tRNA from 1 species